CGCCAGGGACGACCCUGGCGGCUAUGACCAACCCGGGACGGCCCG
rnacentral:ncRNA from 1 species